rnacentral:rRNA from 1 species
CCUACGGGUGGCUGCAGUGGGGAAUAUUGCACAAUGGGGGAAACCCUGAUGCAGCGACGCCGCGUGAGUACAGCAGACUUUCGGUAUGUAAAACACUAUCAGCAGGGAAGAAAAUGACGGUACCUGAUUAAGAAGCCCCGGCUAACUACGUGCCAGCAGCCGCGGUAAUACGUAGGGGGCAAGCGUUAUCCGGAUUUACUGGGUGUAAAGGGAGCGUAGACGGCAGCACAAGUCUGGAGUGAAAUGCCGGGGCUUAACCCGGGAACUGCUUUGGAAACUGUGCAGCUUGAGUGCAGGAGAGGUGAGUGGAAUUCCUGGUGUAGCGGUGAAAUGCGUAGAGAUUAGGAGGAAUACCAGUGGCGAAGGCGGCUUACUGGACUGUAACUGACGUUGAGGCUCGAAAGCGUGGGGAGCAAACAGGAUUAGAUACCCUUGUAGUC